AUUGAACGCUGGCGGCAGGCCUAACACAUGCAAGUCGAGCGAGCGGCGGACGGGUGAGUAUUGUCUGGGAAACUGCCUGAUGGAGGGGGAUAACUACUGGAAACGGUAGCUAAUACCGCAUACCAUCGGAUGUGCCCCGAUGGGAUGAGCUAGUAGGUGGGGUAAAGGCUCACCUAGGCGACGAUCCCUAGCUGGUCUGAGAGGAUGACCAGCCACACUGGAACUGAGACACGGUCCAGACCCCUACGGGAGGAAGCAGUGGGGAAUAUUGCACAAUGGGCGCAAGCCUGAUGCAGCCAUGCCGCGUGUAUGAAGAAGGCCUUCGGGUUGUAAAGUACUUUCAGCGGGGAGGCGUUACCCGCAGAAGAAGCACCGGCUAACUCCGUGCCAGCAGCCGCGGUAAUAC
rnacentral:rRNA from 1 species